rnacentral:rRNA from 1 species
UGGGGAAUUUUGCACAAUGGGGGAAACCCUGAUGCAGCGACGCCGCGUGAUUUAGAAGGCCUUCGGGUUGUAAAAAUCUUUUCUAUGGGAAGAAAAUGACAGUACCAUAGGAAUAAGGACCGGCUAAUUACGUGCCAGCAGCCGCGGUAAUACGUAAGGUCCGAGCGUUGUCCAGAAUCAUUGGGCGUAAAGGGUACGUAGGCGGGUAAGCAAGUUAGAAGUGAAAUCCUAUAGCUCAACUAUAGUAAGCUUUUAAAACUGCUCAUCUUGAGGUAUGGAAGGGAAAGUGGAAUUCCUAGUGUAGCGGUGAAAUGCGCAGAUAUUAGGAGGAAUACCGGUGGCGAAGGCGACUUUCUGGCCAUAACCUGACGCUGAGGUACGAAAGCGUGGGUAGCAAACAGG